rnacentral:rRNA from 1 species
GAUGAACGCUGGCGGCGUGCCUAAUACAUGCAAGUCGAACGAAGAUCUAGCUUGCUAGAUCUUAGUGGCGAACGGGUGAGUAAUACAUAAAUAAUCUGCCCAUAUGACUGGGAUAACUAUUGGAAACGAUAGCUAAUACCGGAUAGGUUGAUUGGAGGCAUCUCUGAUUAAUUAAAGUAGGAUUUCUACACAAAUGGAUGAGUUUAUGGCGCAUUAGUUAGUUGGUGGGGUAACGGCCUACCAAGACGAUGAUGCGUAGCCGACCUGAGAGGGUGACCGGCCACACUGGGACUGAGACACGGCCCAGACUCCUACGGGAGGCAGCAGUAGGGAAUUUUCGGCAAUGGGCGCAAGCCUGACCGAGCAAUGCCGCGUGAGCGAUUAAGGCCUUCGGGUUGUAAAGCUCUGUUGUAAGGGAAGAACAUUCAGGAUAGGAAAUGAUCUUGAACUGACGGUACCUUACCAGAAAGCCACGGCUAACUACGUGCCAGCAGCCGCCGUAA